GAUUAUGGCUCAGAUUGAACGCUGGCGGCAGGCCUAACACAUGCAAGUCGAACGGUAACAGGAAGAAGCUUGCUUCUUGCUGACGAGUGGCGGACGGGUGAGUAAUGUCUGGGAAACUGCCUGAUGGAGGGGGAUAACUACUGGAAACGGUAGCUAAUACCGCAUAACGUCGCAAGACCAAAGAGGGGGGACCCUUCGGGCCUCCCUGCCAUCGGAUGUGCCCAGAUGGGAUUAGCUAGUAGGUGGGGUAACGGCUCACCUAGGCGACGAUCCCUAGCUGGUCUGAGAGGAUGACCAGCCACACUGGAACUGAGACACGGUCCAGACCCCUACGGGAGGCAGCAGUGGGAAUAUUGCACAAUGGGCGCAAGCCUGAUGCAGCCAUGCCGCCGUGUAUGAAGAAGGCCUUCGGGUUGUAAAGUACUUUCAGCGGGGAGGAAGGGAGUAAAGUUAAUACCUUUGCUCAUUGACGUUACCCGCAGAAGAAGCACCGGCUAACUCCGUGCCAGCCGCAGC
rnacentral:rRNA from 1 species